GCGUCCGUAGCUCAAUUGGAUAGAGCAUCGGCCUUCGGAGCCGAGGGUUGGGGGUUCAAGUCCCUCCGGGCGCACCA
rnacentral:tRNA from 4 species